UACGUAGGUGGAUAAUUAAGUCAGAGGUGAAAUCCUGCAGCUCAACUGUAGAAUUGCCUUUGAUACUGGUUAUCUUGAAUUAUUGUGAAGUAGUUAGAAUAUGUAGUGUAGCGGUGAAAUGCAUAGAUAUUACAUAGAAUACCAAUUGCGAAGGCAGAUUACUAACAAUAUAUUGACACUGAUGGACGAAAGCGUGGGGAGCGAACAGGAUUAGAUACCCUGGUAGUC
rnacentral:rRNA from 1 species